rnacentral:rRNA from 1 species
GACGAACGCUGGCGGCGUGCCUAAUACAUGCAAGUAGAACGCUGAAGAGAGGAGCUUGCUCUUCUUGGAUGAGUUGCGAACGGGUGAGUAACGCGUAGGUAACCUGCCUUGUAGCGGGGGAUAACUAUUGGAAACGAUAGCUAAUACCGCAUAACAAUGGAUGACACAUGUCAUUUAUUUGAAAGGGGCAAUUGCUCCACUACAAGAUGGACCUGCGUUGUAUUAGCUAGUAGGUGAGGUAACGGCUCACCUAGGCGACGAUACAUAGCCGACCUGAGAGGGUGAUCGGCCACACUGGGACUGAGACACGGCCCAGACUCCUACGGGAGGCAGCAGUAGGGAAUCUUCGGCAAUGGGGGCAACCCUGACCGAGCAACGCCGCGUGAGUGAAGAAGGUUUUCGGAUCGUAAAGCUCUGUUGUAAGUCGAGAACGAGUGUGAGAGUGGAAAGUUCACACUGUGACGGUAGCUUACCAGAAAGGGACGGCUAACUACGUGCCAGCAGCCGCGGUAAUACGUAGGUCCCGAGCGUUGUCCGGAUUUAUUGGGCGUAAAGCGAGCGCAGGCGGUUUGAUAAGUCUGAAGUUAAAGGCUGUGGCUCAACCAUAGUUCGCUUUGGAAACUGUCAAACUUGAGUGCAGAAGGGGAGAGUGGAAUUCCAUGUGUAGCGGUGAAAUGCGUAGAUAUAUGGAGGAACACCGGUGGCGAAAGCGGCUCUCUGGUCUGUAACUGACGCUGAGGCUCGAAAGCGUGGGGAGCGAACAGGAUUAGAUACCCUGGUAGUCCACGCCGUAAACGAUGAGUGCUAGGUGUUGGAUCCUUUCCGGGAUUCAGUGCCGCAGCUAACGCAUUAAGCACUCCGCCUGGGGAGUACGACCGCAAGGUUGAAACUCAAAGGAAUUGACGGGGGCCCGCACAAGCGGUGGAGCAUGUGGUUUAAUUCGAAGCAACGCGAAGAACCUUACCAGGUCUUGACAUCCCGAUGCUAUUUCUAGAGAUAGAAAGUUACUUCGGUACAUCGGUGACAGGUGGUACAUGGUUGUCGUCAGCUCGUGUCGUGAGAUGUUGGGUUAAGUCCCGCAACGAGCGCAACCCCUAUUGUUAGUUGCCAUCAUUCAGUUGGGCACUCUAACGAGACUGCCGGUAAUAAACCGGAGGAAGGUGGGGAUGACGUCAAAUCAUCAUGCCCCUUAUGACCUGGGCUACACACGUGCUACAAUGGUUGGUACAACGAGUUGCGAGUCGGUGACGGCAAGCUAAUCUCUUAAAGCCAAUCUCAGUUCGGAUUGUAGGCUGCAACUCGCCUACAUGAAGUCGGAAUCGCUAGUAAUCGCGGAUCAGCACGCCGCGGUGAAUACGUUCCCGGGCCU